ACCAAUGUGGUAUAGUGGUUUGAGCACUGGACUACGAUUCUGGAGAUUAGGGUUCAAUUCCCCGCUGUGCCA
rnacentral:tRNA from 1 species